GGCGGCGUGCCUAAUACAUGCAAGUAGAACGCACAGGAUGCACCGUAGUUUACUACACCGUAUUCUUGAGUUGCGAACGGGUGAGUAACGCGUAGGUAACCUGCCUGGUAGCGGGGGAUAACUAUUGGAAACGAUAGCUAAUACCGCAUAAGAACAUUUACUGCAUGGUAGAUGUUUAAAAGGUGCAAAUGCAUCACUACCAGAUGGACCUGCGUUGUAUUAGCUAGUAAGUGAGGUAACGGCUCACCUAGGCGACGAUACAUAGCCGACCUGAGAGGGUGAUCGGCCACACUGGGACUGAGACACGGCCCAGACUCCUACGGGAGGCAGCAGUAGGGAAUCUUCGGCAAUGGGGGGAACCCUGACCGAGCAACGCCGCGUGAGUGAAGAAGGUUUUCGGAUCGUAAAGCUCUGUUGUUAAGGAAGAACGAGUGUGAGAAUGGAAAGUUCAUACUGUGACGGACUAACC
rnacentral:rRNA from 1 species